CGAACAGAAAAGAACGAUGGCUGAUUUCAGACGGAUUAAAAUGUCUUUAUUUCUGAUACUGGGGCUUCAGUUUCUGGCAGAAACUGAACAAAUCACGCCCUCAUUCCUUGUUAGAGGUGGAGAUGAGAUCACUUUGCCUUGUAUAAAUGUGACGGACAAUCAGCAUGAAUGCACAACACCCACUGCAAAAGUCCCCCCCUGCAGUUGAUCUGUCUGUUAUUAACA